rnacentral:lncRNA from 1 species
UUAUAAAAAAAAUAAAAUAUUGAUAAGGUAAUAAUUUUAAAUUUUUUGAGUUAUAAUGAGAUAUCAAUAAAUAUAAAUAGUAUGAGAAAAAAGAGUAUGGAGAAAUUUUAUUUUACUUUUUUUUUUGUAAAAAUAAUUUGUCCAAAUAACAAUUGAUCAUAUGAAUUAAUACAUUAAUUAGACAGUAAACAAGUGAGAAGACGAAACAUCAGGCAGAGAUGGAAAGGCGAAGCAUCAGAGAGUGAAAAAAGAAAAGAAGAUAAGGAUAAAGGAGAAAUUGCCAUAUGACGAAACUAUAAAGAAUAAUAUAUAGAUAUAAAUUUAUGGUAAUGA